UACAGAGGGGGCUAGCGUUGUUCGGAAUUACUGGGCGUAAAGCGCGCGCAGGCGGUUCUUUAAGUCAGGGGUGAAAGCCCAGAGCUCAACUCUGGAAUUGCCUUUGAAACUAGAGAACUUGGGUACGGGAGAGGUGAGUGGAAUUCCGAGUGUAGAGGUGAAAUUCGUAGAUAUUCGGAAGAACACCAGUGGCGAAGGCGGCUCACUGGCCCGUUACCGACGCUCAGGCGCGACAG
rnacentral:rRNA from 1 species